rnacentral:rRNA from 1 species
AUUGAACGCUGGCGGCAUGCCUUACACAUGCAAGUCGAACGGCAGCGCGGGAGCAAUCCUGGCGGCGAGUGGCGAGCGGGUGAGUAAUACAUCGGAACGUGCCCAAUCGUGGGGGAUAACGCAGCGAAAGCUGUGCUAAUACCGCAUACGAUCUACGGAUGGAAGCAGGGGGACCGCAAGGCCUUGCGCGAGUGGAGCGG